ensembl:lncRNA RMST rhabdomyosarcoma 2 associated transcript
GCAAUUGCCAAGCGCUAAGGCACAAGCUGGCAGAUGUGCUGCGGCUCUGCUACGGGCGGCUCUGUCGCCUUCAGUCGCAGGCUGGUUCUUUGGGGGAAAGUUGUAUCCAAUAUUGGUGACUCCCGGGAAUAGUCUGUUUGUGUGCUACUUAAUGGUCUCUAGGCUUCCUUGUCUUGUAGAACCUUGUUAGAAAGGAGCCUUGGUGAUUAAGAGGCUAUGGAGUACACAGCCUUGCUUAGCAGAUGAGCCCUUAUCCAUUUCCCGUUUCCUUAAAAACGGCUAAUUGAUGGAUGCUGCAGAAAACAUGCACUCUGCUAAUAAGAUGCUGAUGACAAAAUAGGUAUCAGGAAAGGCAUUUACUGCUUAUGAGCACCAUCAGCUUUCUUUCGAGUGAGAUUGUGGCUUUGUAGUAAAGUUUUUUUUUAAGUAAUAUGCUAAUAGUUUUAUUCUAAAUCGGCCAGCGCUGAAUAUCUUCAGGAAAAUGGGUUCCAUGAGAAGUGACAUCCUCCUCGAAUCAAAAGAUUCUCAGGAUGAUGGAGUGAGUGAUGGAAUAGGUUGCCAACUGUAGUUACUCCACUCAGCACAGAAUGGCUGCGGGGAAAUAUAAUCAGACAUGCCCAAAGAAGUCUGCUUAGGGUGAAACAAAUACCUUUGAGGUUUAAAUCAGAAAGGAAGGAGAGACUGUUUCUACAGGUGUCAUACAAAAAUCAAUACUGAGCCAAGGAUUAUUGGAUCCCAUAGAACCACGGAGACUUGGUAGUGAAAUUCUUCCAAAGGCAGAUGGUGUUCCUAGGUUUGGAAAUAUAAAUCCCAUGGGAAGUCAGCUGAAGACCAUUUUAUGCAUCACUCAUCCUGUUAGAGCCCUGUGCUGUUCUGUCUCUCUAUAAGACUGGCUGAAACCACCACGGUUGUUUACAAUUUAUGCUCUAACUUUGGAUCACCUAGUUAAUACUCUAACUCCGAUUAUUACCAAAGACAAUGUUCUAUAAAAGAUAUUGUCUAUUAGAAGGAUGCUUCUGCAUUAUUAAUAAAAUCACAGGGAAAAUGCAACAUUUUGGAUGUCACAUCUGAUAAGUUGGCAGUUAAAGAACAGAAACAGCAAUAAGACUGCGUGGCUACAUUUUCCCAGUGCCACCAACUGGGAUUUAAGCUGACUAACAUUUUGAAAGCCCAGCCCAUUUCAUUCACAGCAGGAUGGCAGUGGGUGACUGAUCGUACCCGCCAGCUGGCUAAUGUCAUAAUUAACAAAGUUGCUACUACAUCUGCAAAGUUUAAUCGAAAAAUUUGCCAGUGAUAUGAUGGCCUUGUCACAGAGAUCACAAGGGACACGGAGUUGACUUUUGCUCAAGGUGGAACGACAGAGCUGUGUAGGCAAGAUGAGAAAUUGCGAACUUGUUCGGCCAAAGGAGGCUAAUAAUGAAGGGGCCGGGAAGGAGGCCAGUGCUACCAGGGUUAUCUCACAACCUCAGAUGCUGGAUAAGUCGACGGAGGCAGAAUCGCUUUGGGAUGACAUUCAGAAAGCCUGGAGUGAUUACUUGCAAGAGAAAAGCCUACCUAUUCUUUCCAAGGUGCAGGAAUAUUCCCCUGACCUGCUCAUCCAGUGGUCCAGUAAUGAAUUACUGGAGACCUGCCUUAGACAAAGAAUGCACUCGGAGCCCCAACACACCUAAAGCCAUGCUUUGAAGGAUCUGCCAAGCUCACUUUUAAUCAUGAGAAAGAAAUUACCCACACGGAGU